AUGGCCCUGGCGGCGGUGCUGGCCGCCGUGACUGUUGCUCGGGUGGCCACGGCUGCGACAAGUUACACGGUGGGGGCGCCGGAUGGGCUGUGGGACAUGCACACGGACUAUGCUGAGUGGGUCGCCGCCAGGACGUUCCACCCCGGCGACAACAUCACGUUUACGUACUCGAGAGAGCUGCACGACGUGGUGGAGGUGGGCAAGGCCGGCUACGACGCCUGCUCCAGCGCAAACAACGUCUCCGCCUUCCGCUCCGGCAACGACGUCGUCGCGCUCACCACCGUCGGCACGCGCUACUUCCUCUGCGGCCUCACCGGCCACUGCGACAGCGGAAUGAAGAUCAGGGUCGACGUGGUCGCCGCGUCCACCGGUCCCGUAGCCGCGCCGCCCACCACGUCUGCCGGGGGUAACGUCGUCGCAGGCCUUGGCGCGCUCGUGGUGACGCAUGCUCUCCUUGCCAGCAUCAGCGUCUGGUGA
rnacentral:rRNA from 1 species